rnacentral:rRNA from 1 species
UGGGAACGCGAAGAACCUUACCUAGACUUGACAUCUCCUGAAUUACCCUUAAUCGGGGAAGCCCUUCGGAGCAGGAAGACAGGUGGUGCAUGGUUGUCGUCAGCUCGUGUCGUGAGAUGUUGGGUUAAGUCCCGCAACGAGCGUAACCCUUAUUGUUAGUUGCUACCAUUUAGUUGAGCACUCUAGCGAGACUGCCCGGGUUAACCGGGAGGAAGGUGGGGAUGACGUCAAAUCAUCAUGCCCCUUAUGUCUAGGGCUACACACGUGCUACAAUGGCUGGUACAGAGAGAUGCUAAACCGUGAGGUGGAGCCAAACUUUAAAACCAGUCUCAGUUCGGAUUGUAGGCUGAAACUCGCCUACAUGAAGCUGGAGUUGCUAGUAAUCGCGAAUCAGAAUGUCGCGGUGAAUACGUUCCCGGGUCUUGUACACACCG